rnacentral:rRNA from 1 species
GGAAAGUUGCAAAGCACUUUGAAGAGAGAGUUAAAGAGGACGUGAAACCGGUAAGGUGGAAACGGAUAGAGUCGGCGUAUCAUUCAAUUAUUCAGUUACAUUAUUUUUAUGUUGUGACCUCUGAGCUCCAGAUUGGGACAGAGGGAAUCAGCAUAAUUUUUUGUGGUGCAUUUACUUGAUUGGUGCUUGGGGAUGUUUGAGGCAGAUUUGUUUCCGUCGUUUUGAGGCCAGCUUGCUGGUACCCAAACGGUGUUAGCAUUUUUUGUCUUGGGCAUUUGAGUAUGGCUCACGUGUAUUUAUUGGACAGAUCUGAGUGUAAGUUACGGUCGCAUGCGACACGUGCUUUUCAAUUAGUUCGGUCCAGUUAAUGCUCUCGUACUCGUUCCCCAUGUAAAAGCCGGUCAUCUAUCCGACCCGUCUUGAAACACGGACCAAGGAGUUUAUCGUGUGCGCAAGUUUUUGGGUGUUAAAAACUUAAAAGCGAAAUGAAAGUAAAUGACUCUUUAGAGUCUGAUGUGCGAUCUUGUAAAAAAGUGUAGCAUGGCCCCAUUCUAACUGUUUACAGUAGGGUGGCGGAAGAGCGUACGCGGUGAGACCCGAAAGAUGGUGAACUAUUCCUGAGCAGGACGAAGCCAGAGGAAACUCUGGUGGAAGUCCGAAGCGGUUCUGACGUGCAAAUCGAUCGUCUGACU